AACGAACGCUGGUGGCAUGCCUAACACAUGCAAGUCGAACGAGACCUUCGGGUCUAGUGGCGCACGGGUGCGUAACGCGUGGGAACCUGCCCUUAGGUUCGGAAUAACUCCCCGAAAGGGGUGCUAAUACCGGAUAAUGUCUUCAGACCAAAGAUUUAUCGCCUUUGGAUGGGCCCGCGUUGGAUUAGCUAGUUGGUAGGGUAAAAGCCUACCAAGGCGACGAUCCAUAGCUGGUCUGAGAGGAUGAUCAGCCACACUGGGACCGAGACACGGCCCAGACUCCUACGGGAGGCAGCAGUGGGGAAUAUUGGACAAUGGGCGAAAGCCUGAUCCAGCAAUGCCGCGUGAGUGAUGAAGGCCUUAGGGUUGUAAAGCUCUUUUACCCGGGAUGAUAAUGACAGUACCGGGAGAAUAAGCUCCGGCUAACUCCGUG
rnacentral:rRNA from 1 species